CCUGCAUUAUGGAGCUGCUUUACUCAAGAAAGAGACCAUGUUUGUAUACGUCUUUAUUAACUUUUUUUUUUGUACAUUGUUUGCAAACUGAUAUGUGAUAAAAUAACAUUAAAAAAAAGGCAAAACAUAUAUAUUGUUUUGCUAAACAGGUGGGGCUCCAAACAGACGUGGCACUGAUGGGACAUACAGCAUUGAAACAUUACCAUACAGCGAUUCACCAUAGUUUAAUAUACAUGCUAAAUCAGUGUAAAUCUUGGUGGGGCAAACUCCCCAAAAAUGUUUUAGAUGCAUGCCAGCAAAGCCACUACACAACACAACACUAAACAAUACAUGAAUUACACUAUAAUGGUGACAAACUGUUAGGGCCUCUACAUAAAGCUGUUAGGGCCUCUACAUAAAGCUGUUAGGGCCUCUACAUUAAGCUGUUAGGGCCUCUACAUAAAGCUGUUAGGGCCUCUACAUAAAGCUGUUAGGGCCUCUACAUAAAACUGUUAGGGCCUCUACAUAAAGCUGUUAGGGCCUCUACAUAAAGCUUUUAGGGCCUCUACAUAAAGCUGUUAGGGCCUCUACAUAAAGCUGUUAGGGUCUCUACAUAAAGCUGUUAGGGCCUCUACAUAAAGCUGUUAGGGCCUCUACAUAAAGCUGUUAGCUCUACAUAAAGCUGUUAGGGCCUCCAUAAAGCUGUUAGGGCCUCUACAUAAAGCUGUUAGGGCCUCUACAUAAAGCUGUUAGGGCCUCUACAUAAAGCUGUUAGGGCCUCUACAUAAAGCUGUUAGGGCCUCUACAUUAAGCUGUUAGGGCCUCUACAUAAAGCUGUUAGGGCCUCUACAUAAAGCUGUUAGGGCCUCUACAUAAAGCUGUUAGGGCCUCUACAUAAAGCUGUUAGGGUCUCUACAUAAAGCUGUUAGGGCCUCUACAUAAAGCUGUUAGGGCCUCUACAUAAAGCUGUUAGGGCCUCUACAUAAAGCUGUCCCAAGAGGCUUUGGAGCAUUACCAGAGAUUUACCACAAUUGUUCGGCAUUUGCACUUCAAGUGGCCUUAAAUUAAAGCUGAUUCUCGAAAUAAAAAGUAAAUAAGAUAUAUUAUGCAUCUCCACAAUGUCCAGGAAGUUCUUAAUCACACAGCGUAAUUACAGUCAAAUGAACUGACAACUUACACAGACAUGGUGGCGUAGCAGGAACAUCGGAGUCCUGCAAACCAAGCAGUUGUGAUUUCAAAUCCCAGGAGAGGACAUGUUGAACAAUCAUUUUCGGAUAAAUAAAAAUGCAGAAUGUAAUCAUGUAUGUCGAAUAUGUCAGUUGAAAAUACUGUAUGUCAAAAGAACUGUGUGUGAGUGUCGCUAACCGACAGGCAAAGAGCUAUGAAUGCGUCAGUGCUUUGCCAAUCAGGGCCUUGAUGGGCGUGGCAACAGUAACAAGGUGUGAUGUGUAAUGAAUUUUAUUUUUUGGGGGGGAGACAUUUCUUUGGGAAUGGCGACAACUGAUACACAUGAAACGUUUCUAGAACAUAAAUAUUGUACAUUCUGAGAACAUUGUAACCAUGUUCUUGAUAAGUUCUGUUUUACAUUAAGGGAAUGUUCAUGUCAAAUUGUAACACCAAAACAUUCUAUAAAGGUUCUCAGAAGGUUUCUGUUAACAUAGAUAGAAUUUUCCCCUAACUAACAGAGAACUGGACACUCAAACAAAAGGGGAACAUUGCGGGGAACAUUAUAAAAACGUUAUUUCUCCCUAGAAUUGUUAGCUGGGUUCAUGUCCAUCAUGGACUACUAGCACCCCUUGUGGACUACUAACACCCCUCGUGGACUACUAAUAUCCAUCAUGGACUACUAACACCCCUCGUGGACUACUAACACCCCUCGUGGACUACUAACACCCCUCGUGGACUACUAACACCCCUACUAACACCCCUCGUGGACUACUAACACCCCUCGUGGACUACUAACACCCCUCGUGGACUACUAAUACCCAUCAUGGACUACUAGCACCCCUCGUGGACUACUAACACCCCUCGUGGACUACUAACAUCCAUCGUGGGCUACUAACACCCAUCAUGGACUACUAAUACCCAUCAUGGACUACUAGCACCCAUCAUGGACUACUAACACCCCUCGUGGACUACUAAUACCCAUCAUGGACUACUAGCACCCCUCGUGGACUACUAAUACCCAUCAUGGACUACUAAUACCCCUCGUGGACUACUAGCACCCCUCGUGGACUACUAAUAUCCAUCGUGGACUACUAGCACCCCUCAUGGACUACCAAUAUCCAUCGUGGACUACUAAUACCCAUCGUGGACUACUAACACCCAUCAUGGACUACUAACACCCCUCGUGGACUACUAACACCCCUCGUGGACUACUAAUACCCCUCGUGGACUACUAAUACCCAUCAUGGACUACUAACACCCCUCGUGGACUACUAACACCCAUCGUGGACUACUAAUAUCCAUCAAUGACUACUAGCACCCCUCGUGGACUACUAAUACCCAUCAUGGACUACUAAUACCCCUCGUGGACUACUAGCACCCCUCGUGGACUACUAACACCCCUCGUGGACUACUAGCACCCCUCGUGGACUAGUAAUACCCAUCAUGGACUACUAACACCCCUCGUGGACUACUAACACCCCUCGUGGACUACUAAUACCCAUCGUGGACUACUAACACCCCUCGUGGACUACUAGCACCCCUCGUGGACUACUAAUAUCCAUCGUGGACUACUAAUACCCAUCGUGGACUACUAAUACCUAUCAUGGACUACUAGCACCCCUCGUGGACUACUAACACCCCUCGUGGACUACUAAUACCCAUCAUGGACUACUAACACCCCUCGUGGACUACUAACACCCCUCGUGGACUACUAAUACCCAUCAUGGACUACUAACACCCCUCGUGGACUACUAACACCCAUCAUGGACUACUAAUAUCCUAGAAAUGUGGAAGUAGUAAGUGUAUGAACUUAUGCUCAUUUUCCAAAAUAUGCAGCAAAAUUUGAUCUGCACAGGCCGCUCACACUCACUCACAAACACCUUGACACCAAACCCUGCAAGCGCAACCGCAUGCCUAAACAGCAGUAGUCUUGACAAUGUCAAACAAAUGGGAAAGCUUUAUUGGUGUGUGCACCUAUUAAAUUGAUUGCCCACACCACUCCGAAGUUCACAUUUUCACGUCUAUCACCCUUUAUAUUCUACAUAUUGUUUUUUCAUUCCAGUCCAUAUUUGAAUAAAAAACGAAAGAUUUUGCAUUUCCUAAUUAUGAUCCUACAUAUUCAUGUGUUAUUAUACGGAUUAGGUACGUUAGGUAUUGGCUAGCCUUUCUGUUUUAGCCUCUUCAUGAAAAUAAAUAAACAAGACUUAGCCCAACAAUAGGCUACUUUGCACUCUGGUGGCAAUGAAACAUUUUCCGACAUAGAGUGAGUGUAAACCAGUGAUGUUCUUUUUAACAUUAACAGACACGUUUUUUGUCUCUUACCUUAAAAUGUGAACUGGGUAAUAUUCUCACAGCUGACUCCCACUAUCCUGGGAAGCUUUAAUAUUCUAACUCCCACUAUCCUGGGAAGCUUUAAUAUUCUAACUCCCACUAUCCUGGGAAGCUUUAAUAUUCUAACUCCCACUAUCCGGGG
rnacentral:lncRNA from 1 species